GGCGGAGUUGAAUUGCAAAAUUUUCGUAACUCGGAGUUUCAGUGUGAGCACGCUGCGAGAAUGGAGCUCACUGACAGCGAAGAAGAGCGACUUAUUUUUAUUACGCCAAAUAUCUAUUUUCAAGAACUGUAAUGUCGACGACAAUGAACAAACGGAAUGAAGUUUAUCAGGACAACUCCGUCUUUGAACUCUACUGCUUGAGCCUUGGUCUGCUUGUGGCGUGUCAGCGGCUUACCGCAGCAGACCACAGAGUAGUCAUCUUCGGCAGCCUCAGUCUGUUCGAUCGUCUGGUGCAUUUUGGCGAAGAGGGUUUCUGGGAGAAGGUAUGUCAUAGCCCCUGCGAUGAUUGCGGACAACCCAAAUACUGUGACCGGGAACGUCAUGCUGAGGCCUGGUAACUGCGCCUGAAAGAACCAAUCAGAAGCCGCAUUUACACAAAGGACUCUACAGUGAGACACUACUAUAGAUAGGAACGUUGAUUGAAUUAAAAAUUGUCUUCAUUUUAA